AAGGACCACGCGCUUGGUUGCCAUUGGCCUGCUUGCACUGUUGGUGUAUGGUGGCAUAAGAAUGUGAGAUUCAAGUUGUUUCAGGGUGUUUUGGUGAACUACAAAAUAGUAGGGAGGGAUAGUUAUGUGAAUAAAUUUGAUACAAAGCCACCAGUGGCAUCACUGUAAUUUGCUGGUGGGCAGCAUGUCUUUGAAAUGGACUACAAGGGCAGAAGGAAAGGAUGCAAAGCCCAUUAGUCAAAUCAGGCCUACUCUUGAUUUGUAAAAGUAAAUAAAAAAAUCUGGGCCUAUUUUUGCCCUCAAUGACUGAAGUUAUUGGUUGUAAUUUAGCUAUGUUUAUUUUCAGCACCAACGUGAACUUGACACAAGUCGUAGCGUUUGGUUGCCCUAUCAAGAUUUUUCACAUCAGGGAAACCAUAAACAGCCCACGUUGGAGAUUUGCCAUUAUUCAUUAGCAAACAGGGCCAGCAAUACAGUCGAUUGCUAGUAAUGCUAUCAGUAAGCCAUGAGUACCUAGCAAACCAUGUAGCACCCACAACACUGACGUUGCCAUUACUUUUGGGGAUCUCGAUUUUGCGAAGUGGUCUACCUUUUUCUUUGGUCGCUAACUUAGCACUGUAACUCAAUGAAUGGAAUGCUUUGUGUAAUUAAACAUGAACAAUGUC